AAGGGCAAGCAACUGCGAUUGCUCCAGUAAUGGCGAAUGAACUGGCAAUACCUCAUGGCUCAGCCUGAAGUGAUCCCAACCCACCUCAGUGGUGCCCUCUGGGCUCAGCUGCUCUGGUGGUCGGCUAUCGCGGGUUCAACCAAUGCUGUGGGCUGUGGAGCGGCUUGGCAGUGCUUGUCUGGGCUGGCCGUGGCACCAGGAAGGUGCCCUGGAAUGGACCACAACAGAGGGAUACUGUCCCCUACACUGGACUGUUGUGCCAUGGCUGCCUGGACCUCUGCUGGCCGAAUCCAAGAGUAGAGCUGCUUGAGACUGCAGCUUGAAGUGCCAGGUGUGUCCCUGGCAAGGAGCAAUACCACCGUGGGACCGAUAGUGCACAAGUAGAGUGAUUGAAGGAUGCAAAGGACUUUGUGAAGAGGGUUAAAAGUCCCUGAAGCCUUGGCAGGAACGGCGGUGUGCGGUGCUGUGCUAUGAUCAGAGCAAACCCCAGUCAAGGGCCUCCACCACUCUCUGUGUGAGUGUGGUGUGCCUGCCCUGGAGGUUUUGUGUGCAAGCCAAGCGACCUUGGGCCAGCCCCCAGCUGGCCACUGAGCCUACUCCAGAAGGUGUGGAUGCAAUCGUGGCAGCUUCUCUGAGGGGUGACAGUCAGCCUGUCAGGGCCUGAGGCCAGAACAGCGAGGAAGGGCGCUCUGCAACCAAACUGGCAAUGUCUGCUGCAGUCUCCAGUGUGGGCUUCCCAGGGGAAAGAGUAGUGUGCUGCUGCCCAGGCAGCCAACGCUGAUUGCUGGCUCUGCUCUCUGCUGGUUUUGGCUUGCCGGAGUCUCUUGUGAAUGGCUGCUGACCCUGGCGCGCCCUCGGGCGUGCCAGUCACUGGUGCCCAGCCUCAGUGGGGCCUGGUUGAGAGGUGUGGCAGGCUCACCACUCUGAUGGUGACUGCUGUGCUUCUUCCUGCCCUCUGGAUGGUGCCUGGUGAAGUCAAUGGCAGUUGUGCUUGGUGCAACAGUGCCACACACUGCCCGUCUUGAAACACGGACCAAGGAGUCUAUGGACCUCGCAUGUUGGCAGGUGUGAACGUGGAAGGCCGCUAAGGCACAGUGAAGGCAAGCAAGGGCCACUCUGUGGACCCUCCAGAUGUGGUGUGGUGCUGCUGUCCGCCAGGCACAGGAAAAGAAGGGCUCUCUCUGUGAUGCAGGCUGUGUGCAACUCUGACCAGGGCUGAGGCUCUCUGUCUGUGUGCUGUGUGGGCAACACACAACAACUGCUGCAUGGAACACCAGUCCCCACGUCCAGUGGACAGGGCUUUGAGUGCUUGCAAGGUCCAUGUGACCCGAAAGGUGGUGAACUAUGCCAUUCCAUGACGAAGCCAUGGGAAACUGUGGUGGAAGUCAGUAGCUGUUCUGACGUGCAAAUUGUGUAGCCUGAGUGUGGCAUGGGGGCGAAAGGCCAAUCGAACCACCUAGUAGCUGGUUUCCCU
rnacentral:rRNA from 1 species